CCCUGGGACCCUGGUCCCGGGAGGAAAGCUCGCAAGGGGCACUGGAUGAGGGGCCUGCGUAGCAUCAGCUAGUUGGUGGGGUAAUGGCCUACCAAGGCUAAGACGCUUAGCUGGGUCUGAGAGGAUGAUCAGCCACACUGGGACUGAGACACGGCCCAGACUCCUACGGGAGGCAGCAGUGGGGAAUAUUGGACAAUGGGCGCAAGCCUGAUCCAGCCACGCCGCGUGAGUGAUGAAGGCCUUCGGGUCGUAAAGCUCUGUGGGGAGGGACGAAUGGCGCCGUGAAGAGCGGCGAGUGACGGUACCUCCUUAGCAAGCACCGGCUAACUUCGUG
rnacentral:rRNA from 1 species